ensembl:lncRNA
UUUUUUUUUUUUUUUUUUUUUUUUUUGUCUUUUUGCCAUUUCUUGGGCCGUUCCUGCGGCAUAUGGAGCAACAACAACAACAAAAGACAAAAAAAAAAAAAAAAAAAAAAAAAAAAAAAAAGAAAACCAAUAUAAUUCACUACAAAAACAUACUUUAAAGAAAAGGACAUAACUGGAGUUCCUGUCGGUUAAUGAAUCUGGCUAGUAUCCAUUAGGACUCAAGUUCAAUCCCUGGCUUCACUCAGUGGGUUAAGCAUCCUGCAUUGCAGUGAGCUGUGGUGUAGGUCACAGACGCAGCUCAGAUCCUUCCUACCUUGCUGUGGUGUAGGCCAGUAGCUGCAGCUCUGAUUCGACCCCUAGCCUGGGAACUUCCAUACGCCACUGGUGCGGCCUUAAAAAGAAAAAAAAAAAAGAAAGAAAGAAAAAAAGACAUAAGAUUGUCUCAAGAGAGGCAAAAAAAAUCAACCAAAUUCAUUGUUCUUAAUUUUUUUUUUACUUUUCAGAAAAUUUGGUAUAGAGGAAACUUCUUCAGUCCAACAAAGGGUACUGCCCAAAACCCUACAGCUAACAUUAUACUUAAUGUGAAAGAUGGAAUGCUCUUAAGUUCAGGUUACAAACAAGGGAUAUCUGCUGCCACACUUAUAUUUAGUAUUUUACUAGACAAGUUCUUGCCAUUUUGAUAAGGUUUUCAAAAUAAAUAAAAGACAUAUAGAUUGAAAAGGAAGAAUUAAGUGUAUUUUCAGAUGAAAUGAUUGUGUAAAAUACUAAAAAUCUUUUUAAAAAGCUACUACACGUAAUAAGUUUGUCUUGCAAGGCUUCAGGGAACAUGAUCGAUUAUAACAGUUAAUUAUGUUUCUACAUACUAAAAACAAAUACUUCUACAUUGGAAAAAAAUACCAUUUGUACAGUAUUAUCAAAAUUCUCAAACACCUAGCAAUGUGCCUGACAAAUACACAUACUAUCUGUACACUGAAAACUACAAAAUACUGCUGAAAGAAAGAAAAGAAGACAAAAAUAAAGGGAGCCAUAUGUUAGGCAAAUGGAUUGGAAAGCUCAAUAUCAUUAAAAUGUCAGUUCUCUCCAAAGCGGUCAUGAUUCACUGCAAUACCAAUCAAAUUCUCUGCAGAAAUUUUGGGAAAAUUGACAAAUUCAUUCCAAAUUUACAUGGAAAAAUAAAGGAACUCUAAUAGCUACAAUAACUUUUAAAAAGAAAAGCAGAACUGAAGGAUUAACACUACUUGAUUUCAAGACAUAUUAUAAUGCCAUGCCUGUCAAUCAGGACAAUGAGACAUAUAUGUGUGUGUAUCAGUAUACAUAUAGAAUAUAUUAUACACAUACACUGAAUAUACAUACACAUUUAUGUACAUGUGUCUAUAUAUAUAAACAGUAUGUAUGUGUAUAUAUAUAUGUAUAUUUGAAAAAUGUUCAAAGUCAUUUGAGAGAGGAUAGUCUUUUGAAUAAAUGUGGUACUGGAACAAUUUCUGUCCAUACAUACACACACAUGCAAAAAAAUUUAAAAGUUUUUACACCAUAAAAUAUCAACUGUAAAUGAUCAUAAGCCUAAAUGUAAAAUUAUAAAACUUCUAGAAUAAAACAUAAAGGAAAAAGUUGAUGUACUUGGGUUAGGCAAAGAGUUCUUAGAUCAUAAAAAAUAUAACCUAUAAAAGAAAAUUGAUAAAUUGGACUUCUUCAAAAUUAAAAAAAUUUGGCCUUUCAAAGACA